UACGUAGGGGGCAAGCGUUGUCCGGAAUCAUUGGGCGUAAAGAGCGUGUAGGCGGCUCGGUAAGUCCGCUCUGAAAGCCCGGGGCUCAACCCCGGGAGGCGGGCGGAUACUGUCGGGCUAGAGUCCGGAAGAGGCGAGUGGAAUUCCUGGUGUAGCGGUGAAAUGCGCAGAUAUCAGGAGGAACACCAAUGGCGAAGGCAGCUCGCUGGGACGUGACUGACGCUGAGACGCGAAAGCGUGGGGAGCAAACAGG
rnacentral:rRNA from 1 species